rnacentral:misc_RNA from 1 species
GAGAAAAAUAAAAUUUAGAAAAAGUGCAAGGGUGGGCUUUAGCUUAAUCAGCCACUAAAUCUUCGCCGUCUGGCAUCAUUUCUCUCUUCUCUUCUCCUCUCUGUUCACCCUACCUUCCACUUCAUUACAGCCUCAAAUAUAACUCUCUUAAUUUAAAAAAAAAAAAAAUGGGGAUUCGAUGUUUUUUCAAAUGACAAGCCCAUCGUGGAUUAAUCUGUUGCUGCAUUUUGUGAAGCUGGGUGGUUUCAAAUAUCUGAUCUUUUGAGUUUUUGUUCCAUUUUUCUUCAAUAAAAAUUAAUUGCUGAUCUAUGCAAUGUCGUGUGAAUCUAAAAUCAAGGAGAAGAUUUAACUCAUGAUUUCUUUAUUCUAGUGUUUUGAUUGCAUUUAACAUUAACAGUCUGCAUUUUCGAGCGGUUGUAGCACUCAUAAAAUUUUGUGAAUGAAAAAUGUUCUAAUUUUAAUUUCAGUCAUCAUUAUCGACAACAUAGAAAUAGGUUAGAUUGAUUAGCAAGCAUAAAUGAACUUUGAUGUAGAAUCCUGUUAGGAUUAAGAGUUUGUGAUUGAGAGUCCACCUGUACGAGAGUUCUCAUGUGGACAGCACUCUAAUUAUGGCAGUUAUCCCAGAAUGCUUAUAAAGUGAACCAAGUAUCCUGUGGUUGCUCGGUUAGGGUUACAUGUUACUCCUUACUCGCAUUCCAGUACUAUUAUUUUGGUGGUUGUAACAUCAAUUAUGUCCAGUAAAUUAACUAAACUCUGUUAUGUUUCAUAUCUUUAUACUGUAUUCAGCAUUAUGAGAAACCAUCCAUCUCAGAGACAUGUCUUGCAAUGUAGUAAUGGUGAGAUUAUUGCCUAAAUGGUAUUGCCUGCUAUUGGUAUGGGUUGGAUUUGGGAUGUUACUAGAUUCUUUUAUUAUUAUUAUUAUUAU